AUUACAGCCGCAAAAUUCCAGGAAAUUAAAAAACGGAGCUCUGAGAGGAUAGAGCGCUCUCUCUCUCUCUCUCUCUCUCUCUCUCUCUCAUACAGUUCGUUGAAGGCACAUAUCGUAAUGCUUAUUCAUUCAGUUGCCUUUUGCAACUAUUACAUCCCCUUCUUCAAUGCCAUCACUACUAGAAUCACCAUUAACGGAAGCAGUCGUAGGUGCAGUUUAGCCAAGUUCGAGAGCCGAGCCUUCCUGAAGAAUUCCUCGCCCUUACUCUCAAAGGCCAUCGAUAAACCGUCAGUUGUCCACGACAGUCUCAGACUUCUCGAAUGGGACAAGCUCUGCGACUCCGUCGCUUCCUUCGCCGGCACUUCUUCCGGUAAACAAGCCACUAAGGCACAGCUAUGGACUUUGAACCAGACUUACGAAGAGAGUAUGAGACUCUUAGGCGAAACCAAUGCGGCGGUUGAAAUGCACAAUCACGGUGGUUGUGCCAUGGACUUCAGUGGCAUUGAUGUUGCCUUGGUGAAAUCUGCUAUCCAACAUGCCCAAGGUGGUCAGCCAGUGGAUGGAAGUGAAGCAAUGGCUACUGUAGCUUUGCUUUUGUAUGCUGAAACUUUGCAAUAUAACCUCAAAUCUGCAAUCAAAGAAGACGCAGAGUGGUAUCAGCGUUUCAUGCCUCUUUCCGUGACGAUCUUGGAAUUGGUAAUAAGUCGUUCAGUAGUAAAGUUGGUACAGCAACUUAUAGAUGAAGAUGGCUCUGUUAAAGACUCUGCGAGUUCUGCCUUGAAACGUUCGCGUGAUCAAGUGAGAUUGCUUGAAAGCAAGUUAUACCAGUUGAUGAACGGUCUAGUUCAGAACAAGAUGAGUGAAACAUCCAUUUUGGAAGUGAGUAAUAUUGAUGGAAGGAUAUGCGUAAGAUUGGGAGCUGAUUCACCUACGAGUUUUGAGGGCUUAUUAUUGUCCAGUGGUUCAGGUGGUGAAAGCAUUAUGGAGCCACUCUCUGCUGUUCCACUGAAUGAUGAAUUGCAGCAAGCAAAGGCUCUUGUAGCAAAGGCGGAGGCAGACGUGCUGUUAAAGAUAUCAGAGAAGAUGCGAGUUGAUAUUGGCGAUAUUGAGAAAUUGUUGAAUAAAACAAUUGAACUGGAUGUGAUCAAUGCUAGAGCAACCUACAGUCUUUCAUUUGGAGGCACAUGUCCUGAUCUCUUUUUAGCCGAGACCAAAGAUGGUGAUCUUGCUAUUGACAUGUUACUAGGGAACAGAAAUGCAAAAAACUGGACGCUGUAUAUUCCAAAAGCUUAUCAUCCCUUGUUACUCCAACAACAUCGGCAAAAGCUGCGAAAAGCCAGGAAAGAUGUUACCAAUGCUACCUCUGAAAUUAGAAAGAGAAACCAAGGCGAAAUUAUGAACCAGAAAGAAGAAACAGACAUAAAUCUUUCAUCCUUUGAAAUGCUGGUGACUAAAUUGGAACAAUCUCCUCCUAUUCCAGUAGAUAUCUUUGUUGCACAGAAAACUAGAGUUCUAGUUAUAACUGGCCCGAAUACUGGGGGUAAAACCCUUUACCUAAAGACGAUUGGAUUGGCUGCUGUGAUGGCAAAAUCAGGUCUUUAUGUAUUAUCUUCUGAACCUGUUAAGAUCCCUUGGUUUGAUUCUGUAUUGGCUGAUAUUGGUGAUGAACAGUCCUUGUCACAAUCUCUGUCUACCUUCUCCGGCCAUUUGAGACAAAUUAAUGUAAUUCUGAAGCAUUCAACAAGUAAAACUUUAGUCCUAUUAGAUGAAGUUGGUGCUGGGACAAAUCCCCUUGAAGGAGCUGCCUUGGGGAUAUCACUGUUGGAAUCCUUGGCUGAAUCUGGUCCGUUAUUAACAAUAGCUACAACACAUCAUGGAGAACUCAAAACCCUGAAAUACAGCAAUGAUGCCUUUGAGAAUGCCUGUAUGGAGUUCGACGAAGUGAACUUAAAGCCAACUUAUAGAAUUCUCUGGGGAGUACCAGGACGUUCCAAUGCAAUCAAAAUUGCUGAAAGGCUAGGUCUACCCAACGUAAUAUUAGGUAAUGCUCGUGAACUCUAUGGUGCUGGCAGUGCAGAGAUUAAUGAGGUCAUAUUUGAAAUGGAAAGGCUUAAGCAGAACUUGCGUAAACAUGUUUACGAAGGACAGAAUUACCUUAAGCUCUCACGAGAUCUUCAUGAAAAUCUGCUUCUGACAAAGAGAAAGGUCAUGGAUCAUGGCACUGAUCAAAGAUACAGAAUGAUGCAACAAGUUUCUGAAAUGGCGUCAAUGGCACGUUCUAUACUUCACAAGAAAAGGCGACAGAUUCGUGCAUCUGCAACUCGACCAUCCCAGCCUACUGUAGCAAACAACAGCCAAGAUAAACCCAAGAUCAACAGCCAGGAUGCUGUGAUAGAAAGUAGUGGAAUUCCUGUUUCAACUAAAGCUUCUGAUUCCUCUGAGAAUGCCAGAAAAUUACCCCAGCCUACUGUAGCAAACAACAGCCAAGAUAAACCCAAGAUUAACAACCAGGAUGCUGUGGUAGAAAGUAGUGGAAUUCCUGUUCCAACUAAAGCUUCUGAUUCCUCUGAGAAUGCCAGAAAAUUACCACUGGAGAAGCAGGCCAAACUGCCCAAGGUGGGUGAUACGGUGCACAUUUCUUCUUUCAACAAGGAAGCGACUGUAUUAAAGGUGGAGCCAUCAAAAGAAGAACUAUUAGUCCAAGUAGGUCAAAUGAAGUUGAAGUUGAAACUGGCGGACGUGACAACUUGACUGGUACGAGGCCAGUUGCGUCAUCAUUGGUCUAUUACACUCAAUCCCCAGCUCCUAUACAUGAUCUCAUUCUCAUUCUUUCUUUAACACCAAAAAGCAUCCUUGCUCUGCAUUGGCAUCCAAUUUUGUCAGGUAUCUUCUUGCAACGUUAUAACAAUCAGAGUUGUCCACACCAUAUGUAAGGAGGCAUACCGGGCUUUCGGAUGAAGGCAAACAUAAAUGAAAGAUAACCACAAACUAACACAGGAAUGAUUCUCGAACUUUACCGUGCACAAGUUCUAUAGGGAGCAGCCGAUCGAAAGAGGUUCUAUAGGGAGCAGUAUGUUACAUGCAUCGAAAAAAAGUUAAUGGUAGUAGGACCAAAAUACACCUUUUUUUUUUCUUCUUCUUCUUUUUAUUUUUUAUUUUUUUUUAAGGGUUUUGUGGGUUACUGGAUUAGUUGUACUGGAGGCUAUUUUUCUGAUCCUUAUUAUUACUCGAUUUGUAUAUAAUAUCGUAUCACAUGUUCUAGUCAAUAAUUUCAGUGUCAGUACUUUGUUGAUCCCUUUCAUCCUAAUGUAAAUACAUGGAUUCUGCAAGUACUUUACAUAUGAGUGCAAGUGCCAUUUU